rnacentral:rRNA from 1 species
GAGCAUGUGGUUUAAUUNGAAGCAACGCGAAGAACCUUACCAGGUCUUGACAUCCUUUGACCACCCAAGAGAUUGGGCUUCCCCUUCGGGGGCAAAGUGACAGGUGGUGCAUGGUUGUCGUCAGCUCGUGUCGUGAGAUGUUGGGUUAAGUCCCGCAACGAGCGCAACCCUUGAUCUUAGUUGCCAGCAUUGAGUUGGGCACUCUAAGGUGACUGCCGGUGACAAACCGGAGGAAGGUGGGGAUGACGUCAAAUCAUCAUGCCCCUUAUGACCUGGGCUACACACGUGCUACAAUGGAUGGUACAAAGNGCAGNGAAGCCGCGAGGUGAAGCCAAUCCCAUAAAGCCNNUNNNNNUCGGAUUGCAGGCUGCAACUCGCCUGCAUGAAGCCGGAAUUGCUAGUAAUCGNGGNNCNGC